rnacentral:lncRNA from 1 species
GGCCUAUAAGACCAAAAUGAUCACUCGUACACUAAACAUAGGCCGACAAGACCAUACAAUCUUUUACAUACAUGGCAUAUGUCUACAAGCCUCUAAGAGUAGAUAAAUAUCAUAAAGGUCGGGACAGGGCCCCACCAUACUAAACAAUACACGUCUGAAUCAUACUGACCAAAUAAGAAACUCCGGAGCAAAUGGAGCGCACCAACAUCUUCCGCUGAGCUGAUAGCCUACUUGGAGAAAUCUCAACCUGUCUAUCGGGACCUGCGGGCAUGAAACGCAGCAUCCCCGGGCAAAAGAAACGUCAGUACAAAUAAAGUACCGAGUAUGUAAGACAUGAAAAAAACAUGGAGUAAGGAACUCAACCUGUAAGUCUGAAUAGCUCUGUGAAUCAUGAAAAUAUUUAUAAUAUCAUGCAUGUGCGUAUAAAUGCCAUACCAUGCAUACGUAUAUGCGUACAUAAUAUCAUCGAGCCUCUGAGGGCAUCCCAUCAUAUCAUCUCAGCCACUAUGGCAAAAUCAUCAACGUAUACCAGCUGAUUAGGUGGUGGUGCGUAUAUAAGGCCGUAACCUUUUUCUAUAUCCCAUAUACAUAUAAUAUACGCGUAUAUAAUGCCAUCUGGUCAUGGGUCAAUGUACAUGUAUAAAUGAAUGAAAUACAUAAGAAAUACGUUAAUAAGAUCAAUAUACCUUUCGGAUAAACUUUAUCAACUACGUAUUUUUCUGAGACCCAUGAACAGAAGAUAUAAUAAUAAUUUACAUGGGGAAUCAAGAACGUAUGCAUCUCUAAUGCUUCUAUGAAUAGAGUCAUUUUAUGAAAGUUGUGCAUUUGCUCGUUUUGUUUGUAUCGUACGGAUCAUGCCAAAAGAAAAUGAGGGAUAGCCUUAACAUACCUUAUCACAAUAUUUCCAUUGAGUCCUUAGUACCUUCCAAGCAAUUCUUAAAAUAAAUCAACUCAAUUUACCAUAGCAGAAUUAGAUUUAAAAUCAGUGUUGAGUAAAAGCUAAGUCUGCAACUUAAACUAGUAGCUCAUUUACGUAAAUUUGGGCAGCAUUUCCCCUGUAACUAGGCCCUCAUCCAAUACCAUAUACCAACAACAACAACAAGAACACAACAAUAAAAAUAUGUAAGCAUUAUUUUCCAACCUUAUAUACACCACAAAAUACUAGAAAACAACCCACACACUCUAAUCACUUCAUACAUAAAACGACAACCAAAGUAGUGUCAAACAGCCUAAAACAAUAUAACGAAGAAUGACCAGCCCACCAUUCCGUGAUUAUGUAGUGUUUCUAUACACCAGUUUUCCUUCAAAACUCCAUUAAAUAGUAGCAAAAUAGACAGCCCAAAGGCAACAUGAAACAACCCAUAAAACAGUCCACUACAAGUCAAAUAACUCGAACUCACGGCUUUCGAUCACCGUCCCGUGAGUUCUAACUAUUAGGAAACAAAUUUAUCAACCUUCCUUGAUAUUUAAGCACUUAAAUACAGAAAUUACAUAUUUUUUAACUAUGAAGUACCUUCCAAAAUUCAAAAUACAAAAAAAAUAAAAGGCGAUAUAGCGAUACUUACGUCGUAGGGAUCGUUUUAAUGUUAUCGUUUCUUGAUUCUGUGCCCGGGAUGAUAAUCUUGUUUGAAACUCUUGCAGAGAGCUUAAGAGUAAAGUUAGGGGUCUUAUUUGAUUGUG